CUGACACACACAAGGCACUACUCUCCCAGAGGGGUUCAGCAUGGUGCCCUCAGCCGAUCCUAGAGCCAAAGGGCCCAUGGACGAGCGUUGCUCAAUGUCUGCAGAGUGUUCCAGCAAGGUUCCCAGCUCAGACUCCAGCUUUGGAUAAAGAACACUAUUUCUUUAGUUAUUUAGCAAAAUUAAACUUUGUGUUAUCUGCUGCAAGAGCACCAAGGGGGAGAAAUCAGUUAAUUUUUUUUAAAUUUUGAGAUGGAGUCUUGCUAUGAAGUGAUGUGAUCUCGGCUCACUGCAACUUCUGCCUGCUGGGUUCAAGUGAUUCCCUGCCUUAGCCUCCCGAGUAGCUGGGACUCCAGGUGCCUGCCGCCACACUCAGCUAAUUUUUGUUUUGUUUUGUUUUGUUUUGUAAUUUUAGUAGAGACAUGGUUUCACCAUAUUGGCCAGGCUGGUCUCGAACUCCUGACCUCAGGUGAUCCACCUGCCUCGGCCUCCCAAAGUGCUGGGAUUACAGACGUGAGCCACCGAGCCUGGCCAAAUCAGUUAAUUAUAUUAGUAUUUACGUGGUCUUAAGAUCUUAGCUUAAUGAACCAAAUGUGAUUUGUCAAAAUUGACAACUGGGAAGGAAGGCCAAGAAUCUGAAAGAAAGACCAGAGAUUAUGCACAAACUGGAACAGCAGAAGACAAGCAUUAAAGACUAGGACAUUCAAAAACACUUUCAAAUAUGGGGAAAAUUAGAAAGUGACUGUGCAUGUCCAGGGAAAGGCAUAGGCUGAAAAAAGACUUGAGAAGACCUAAGUUUACACCCCAGGAUUAUCCUUGGCACAGGGCCAGUUCAUAAUAAUCAAAAAAUCAAAAACAAAAAAAACCAAUAACAACACUAGCAAAUUGUGAGAGAGAGGAAAAAUCUGAUUUCCAGAGUUACCAUAUUACUAGAUUCAAAUGUCCAAUUUUAACCAAAAAAAAAAAAAAAAAAAUCACAAGGAUACAAAUAAAUAAGAAUGUAUGUCCCUAUCAAAGAAGAAAAAAAUGAAUCAACAGAAACUAUUCCUGAAAAAGAGUUGGUGGCAGAUAUACUAAAUACAUACUUGAAAAGAAUUUCCUUAGAGAAAGGAUGAUAUGAAGAAAUUAAGAAAACGAUAUAUGAACAAAUGGAAAUAUCAAUAAAGAGACAGCAAACCUACAGAGAAACCAAAAGGAAAUUCUGGAGCUGAAAAGUACAAUUACUGAAAUAAAACAUUCCCUAGAGGGAUUCAAAGGCGAGUUUGAGCAGGCCGAAAAAACAAUUGGCAAACUUGAAGAUAGGACUGCUGAAAUUAUUGAGUCUGAAGAACAUUAAAAAGAAAAAGGAACAGAACCUAAGAGACUUGUGAGAUGCCAUCAAGUGGAACAAAUCUGCACUGUGGGAGUCUCAGAAGGGGAAGAGAGAAGGGAAGGAGUAAAGAGAAUAUUUGAAGAAAUAAGAGUAGAAAUCUGCCAAAUUUGAUGAAAGACAUAAAUAUGAACAUCCAAGAAGCUCAACAAACUCCAAGUAAGAUGAACUCAAAGAAACCCACACCAAGAUAUAUUAUAAUUAAACUUUUGAAUGCCAAAGACAGAGAGUCUUGAAAGCAGCAAGUGAGAAGCAACUAAUUAAAUAUCAGGGAUUCUCAGUAAGAUUAUUAGCAGAUUUCUCAUCAGAAACUUUGGAGACCACAAGACAGUGGGCCUAAAUGGUGCUAAAAGAAAAAUAUACUGUAAACGAAGAAUCCUGUUAUAUCUGCUAAAACUGUACCUCAAAAGUGAGGGAGAAAUUGACAUUCCUAGAUAAACAACGGUGGGAGGCAGUCUUGUGGGACUCAGCCCUCAACCUGUAAGUUCUCUGGGCUAACUCUUGCUAGUGUCAGAACCAUACUGAAUUGUGGGACACCCAGCUGGUAUUGAAGAAGUUGUCUGUGUGGGGAAUCUCCCUGACUCCCAUUGACAUCUGGUCUCUGAGGUGAAGUAUUGCAGUAUUGGUGAUAGCAUAGAUAGAAAAAAAAUUUUUUCCCCAAAUAUAUAUUUCCUGAAACUAUGGGCUCAAAAUAGAGUACAUUUUUUUUUUUCCAGCACAUAAGGCUCUUUUGGGUGAGUGAUAGUGUAUGAAAUUGUUCCAGAGUCACUUUAUCGGUGUUACUGUUCCUGCCUCUGGGGAAAGUUGAUUAGGAAUGGGGUGGGCUGAGGUGUUCAGGAGCUGAUGCCUAGAAACACCCAUGGGGCAGUGGUGAUUAUCAAGGGCAGGUAGAGGACUCUCCAUGGGAAGGGGCAAGCAGACAAGAGAAGGGGAAGCUAACAGGCAGCCUGUUUUUAUUGGGGGCAGGUGGGUUUGAACAAAAGGCAGUACAACAUAUGCUGGAAUGGG
rnacentral:lncRNA from 1 species